UACGAAGGGGGCUAGCGUUGCUCGGAAUCACUGGGCGUAAAGGGUGCGUAGGCGGGUUUUUAAGUCAGGGGUGAAAUCCUGGAGCUCAACUCCAGAACUGCCUUUGAUACUGAAGAUCUCGAGUCCGGGAGAGGUGAGUGGAACUGCGAGUGUAGAGGUGAAAUUCGUAGAUAUUCGCAAGAACACCAGUGGCGAAGGCGGCUCACUGGCCCGGUACUGACGCUGAGGCGCGAAAGCGUGGGGAGCAAACAGG
rnacentral:rRNA from 1 species